rnacentral:rRNA from 1 species
AGUGAACGCUGGCGGUAGGCCUAACACAUGCAAGUCGAACGGCAGCACAGUAAGAGCUUGCUCUUACGGGUGGCGAGUGGCGGACGGGUGAGGAAUACAUCGGAAUCUACUUUUUCGUGGGGGAUAACGUAGGGAAACUUACGCUAAUACCGCAUACGACCUACGGGUGAAAGCAGGGGAUCUUCGGACCUUGCGCGAUUGAAUUAGCCGAUGUCGGAUUAGCUAGUUGGCGGGGUAAAGGCCCACCAAGGCGACGAUCCGUAGCUGGUCUGAGAGGAUGAUCAGCCACACUGGAGCUGAGACACGGUCAAGACUCCUACGGGAGGCAGCAGUGGGGAAUAUUGGACAAUGGGCGCAAGCCUGAUCCAGCCAUACCGCGUGGGUGAAGAAGGCCUUCGGGUUGUAAAGCCCUUUUGUUGGGAAAGAAAAGCAGCAGGUUAAUACCCCGCUGUUCUGACGGUACCCAAAGAAUAAGCACCGGCUAACUUCGUG